rnacentral:lncRNA from 1 species
ACUGUACCAACCGUACCAAAUCGUACCAACAAUAUAAAAUAUCAAUAUGACACAAUCCUUAUACCAAUAGCACAGCUCAAAACUCUCUAUUCUUUAAAUUAGUAAGGAAAUUUCUCAAUAAAGUUUAAAAAAUUUUCUAAAAAUAUAAAAUAAACAGUUAGAAUUUUAUUGCUAAAAAAAAAUAAUUCUUUCAUGUCAUUAUAUUGUCGAUACAUAUGUAUCUUUUAUAACUGGCACGU